UACUACACAAACCGCCGCCGUGCCACCGGUUCGUUGCUGCGUAGCCAUUUCGUCUCGAUCGCAUCGGUCGUUUUAUUAACGAGCCGCUCUUAUUAUAUGCGUACCGAUACAUUAUUACGAUGACAGUGUGAAACGGCCCCGCGAACGAAAGAAGAAAGAAUUAAAACGUUACACCCGGACGCUCAUAAUACGUAUACAACAAGUAUGUACUCGACGAAAAAACCGAUAGUCGGUUAAUAUUCGUCGAUAAUAUAAUUUUAUAGUUUUCGGUGUAUGUUCU